rnacentral:rRNA from 1 species
CGGCGGACGGGUGAGUAACACGUGGAUAACCUACCUAUAAGACUGGGAUAACUUCGGGAAACCGGAGCUAAUACCGGAUAAUAUAUUGAACCGUAUGGUUCAAUAGUGAAAGACGGUUUUGCUGUCACUUAUAGAUGGAUCCGCGCCGCAUUAGCUAGUUGGUAAGGUAACGGCUUACCAAGGCAACGAUGCGUAGCCGACCUGAGAGGGUGAUCGGCCACACUGGAACUGAGACACGGUCCAG